rnacentral:lncRNA from 1 species
AAAGUAGUAUAAAUGUAUAAUGUAAAUAAAAAGUGAUCAAAACUCUAAAUUUACCGAUUGGUCAAAUUGAAGUUAAAUACAAAGCAAAAUCAAUGAUACCAAAAAUGGCAUUAUUCAUAAAAAAAAACAGGACAACAAGUACAUCCCCCAGAAAAUAAUAUUCAACCUCGCUGAAAAAAAAAAAAAGUGCAUCCAAAAUAAAAUAAUCAAGAUCAAAUUAAAACAAAAUAAGAGUGACAUACAUCUUCAAGAAAUUGGGCAGGGACUGAGGCUUUCAACAUGAGGUAGGAAAGCAUAUUUAGCAUAUUUAAAUUUCAACCGCUUGAGCUUUAAAGACGUCAACUGUUGAAACUGAACAUCAUAAACAGAGUAUACAUGUUCAUUUCCUUCCAUACCUCGUAAGAUAAAGAAUCUACCAUUUCCGUAAGUAGCAAGAACUUCUGAAAAUUGCCAAUUCUCCGAAAAUUUAUAACCAUAUGCUAUGAGGUUCACACUGUAUAGCUUGUGCCAUUCUCCCCUUUUUAGGUCCUUCAGAACCCAAAUAUCCCAUUGACAUAGCUGACGACUCUGUACCUCUUUAUUUGGCACCACAUGAGAGGGACAACCUUCUAUUUCGUGUAACACUUCUACUCUAGGCCUACAACAUACAGGGACUUCUGACUUGUAAAACUUCUCCCCAGCAGUGUCAAAAGAAAUCACGACCAGAGACUCUACCCUAUCAUUUUCAUAGGUCCCAGAACAACAAAAAUGGAAGACUUCUUUGAUGAUAAGGUAUCCAUAUUUUGCGACAUACCGACCACGUAGGCGCUUGAAAGGUGAAUAUACCCAUUUCCAUUGAGGAAAAGUAGAACCAAGAGUAAGCAUUUCACAUCUCAAGAAUCUGUCUUCGUCAAAAACAAGAGAAACUACUUUAUAUUCCCCAGUAGAACUAUGGAAUGUGAUUCCACGUAGAAUAUCUAAUUCUUCAUGCCAUCGUGUACAAGGAGGCAAUUCAACGAACUGUUUAGUAACAGGAUUAGCAACUAUUAGACGUCCCACACUUGGCAUAUCGUCUAGUAAAAGUAGUCCAUUGCAGCUACUUCUCACAACCUUUUUGUAUUUUAAUUUUAAUCGACUAAUCCUGAAACUUCCGUCAUUUUCAAUCUGUAUAUUAUUAGGAUCAGAAAAUCUGAAGUUCUUUACUUGUGGAAAUAACGCAGCUCUUGGUAUGGCAAGAAACCCAGGAAUUGAUUGGCGAAGGUGUGCAUCGAUAAAUCUGGAACUGUUUAAUAACUCAAACCAUUGUUUGCAAUUAUACAUCAUUCUGUGAACUUUCUGCGCACGAAGCCUCAUAACCGUGUUGAAUACGAGAUCCUCAUCGAUAUAUGGAACCACCAAAUCACUGUUCUUGUGCUCACAAAUGUUCUUGCUUACAAGAUCUUUGUGAUUUUCCAUCUUCAGCUAAUAUGAAAUUUGCUAUCUUAAUUAAAAAAGAAAGAAAAAAGAAAAAUUAGAUAUAUGAAAGGUAUCUUAAAAAAAAUGAGCUAAUACAUAUUACAUUACUUUACAAAAGACGAUAAUUUUAUAAUAAAAGAUCACGUAAAUUACAAAUAAUUCGUCAUACACAAAGAACUCUGAAUCAAUAGGUAUAUAUGGACGAAGUUGGGUUGGUUGCAAUGCAACCCGACUCCUAGGAUAAAGUCAAUGCAAAAUGUCCUCCAACAAAAACUUACUAAUCAACAAGAAAUCCAAACAAUAGCACGGACUUACAUCCCAUGCUAAGAUACUUACAAUAUUUCAGGGGAGCUAAAAUUGCCGCGCUGGUUUUUACACCAUCCACGUUUUUCUGACCCAUAUGCCCCUCAUUUUUAAAACUUUUUAAUUAAAUAAAUGUUAAGAAAAGGUUAUUCAAGUCAAAUUACUUAACAAGCUCGUGAAGUGGUGACAAACAUAUAUUCUAUCUUGAAGUGCUACCCAUGAUGAGCCAGAUAGAGACCAAGGUAUUCAGAACACCCCCAACCCCCUUUCCCAAUUCCCACAUCUUUGGAAAUUUUAUAAAUUGCUAGAUAUUGGUAGUAUUAAUUAUUUUAAAAUGGAUUUAAAAGAAAAAAAAAGAAAAGUUGGUAUGUGUAAAUGUGACCCCCCUGCUCCCUAGGAAGCAAACUGCAUACUCCAAGAUUAAUGUUAAUUAAUUCAAACUUAUUUUCUCUACCACAUUGGAGUAUCUGAUUCGUAAAACAAUUGAAAAUAGAUUUGUGGGUGAAUUAGGCGAAGAAGAAAAGAGCACAGAGACGAAAGCGUGGAAGCUGAAUCCUGGAGAGAAAGAUUUCAAUUUUCAGGCACGUAAAUAGAAACGUAUAUUCCUUCUGUUUGAAAUCCGAUACAACACCUCUUUCUCUGUUAAUUAGUAAUUACUAUGGUUGAAUACAUAUUAUAGAUUGAAAUAUCAAGUUGUCUAAACACCAAACACAGCCAAUAAGUCAAUAAAAUUUCAUCACUGAAAACACCAAAAUCAAACACUGUAUUUACUUAAUAAUUAGAUAAAAAAAUCCACCAAAUUAAUUACUUAUGAGCACAAAUAAUAUAUCAUCAAAGUAUCAAAUAAUUUUGCAUUUUCCAUUUUCAGUUAAGCUAGCGAGGUACAAUGCCCCCUACCUGCAAGGUACCUAUCAUCACAAACUAAUAGUAGCCAAAGUUUUACAUGCAUGGCUGUUGAGACUUGAGAGUGCUACACAUAAUACGAAAUAUCGCGAUAUAUAUCGUUUUUCUGACAAAAUGGUACGAUAUAUUUCUGAUAGUUACUCUUUAAUGGUUCUGUAAAACAUCGGCCGAUAUUUACCGAUAUUUGGUGAUAUUUUCCGAUAUUUUCUGAAUUUUUUUUUUUUAUUUUCACAAUAAUACACAAUAAAAAAGGAGCAGCAACAAUAACAACAGCAAAGACUACUUCUUUUCUCAAAAUCGCUGGAACAAAAGCUCAAUUUGAUCAAACAAAAAAUUCACAAUUUGAUCAAACUAAUAAUUGAACAAAAAAACAAAAACAAAAAUCAAAUUUUCAAUCGAAUAAUAGAGAAAAAUAUACCCUAAUUGUAAAAUCAUACAUUAAAAGUGUGGAUGAGAAUCAAUACCUGUAAGCAAUGAAGAAGAUUUUAAGCAGAGGUGGUGUUGAAGAAAUUGAAACUAUAACAAGUAAUUAUCGCCGUUUGUUGAAUGAAGAAGAUUUUUAGCAGAGGUGGUGUUGAAGAGAUUAAAACUAUAACAAGUAAUUAUCGCCGUAUCGCCGUUUCGCCGUUUGUUGAAGAAACUGUGGUGGUGAAGAGAUUAUAUAUAGUUGUUUGUUUCGGUGAGAAUUGAAAGAGAAGACGGUUUUAAGAGAGAGAGAGAUAUGGAGUAGAGCCCGAUGUUUAGAAGGAAUCCUUGUUAAAUUGAUAGAGAUAGAAUCCUUGUUAAAUUGAUAGAGAUAGAAUCCUUGUUAAAUUGAUAGAGAUAGAAUGGAAAUCUAAGGAAUUUAUACUGAAGUGCUUCAUCAUCAAGUUGAAAUUGGAGUACAAACACUACACGGUAUAUUGAAAAAUAAAUAGAAAGCCAGAGAUGAUAUUGAAAAAGGAAAUAGAAAACAGACAAGAUCGAACCAUAGCUUUUACCAACGAUUUCUAAAAACUGUAAUUGAAGAAGAAGAAGAAGAAGAAAGAGAAUUUUGGUACGUUUGAUAAGUGAAAGGAUUGAUUCAGUGGUCACAAGAAUAAGUAUCAUUGAAGAGUACUGGAUAGAAUUUUAAAGUUGUUGACACUCGAGAACCCAAACGAUUGACUUUAGAUUUAGAGCACGGCUGUCGCUGUGGGCUGUGGGCUGUGGCACGCACACGAUUAACCGUGUACGAUUCAUUACGUGGGCAAAAAAAUUCUGACCUCUCUCUCUCUCUCUCUCUCUCUCUCUCUCUCUCUCUCUCUCUCUCUCUCUCUCUCNNNNNNNNNNNNNNNNNNNNNNNNNNNNNNNNNNNNNNNNNNNNNNNNNNNNNNNNNNNNNNNNNNNNNNNNNNNNNNNNNNNNNNNNNNNNNNNNNNNNUUGUACUAUAUUCUCAGGUACUUACCGAAUCUCUCUCGUUGUGAUGCAAGACUGACACAAAAAUCUUGCAGUCCAUUUGGCCUUGUUUGUUUACAGGCCUUUGGCCUUCUUCAACAAUAACAUAGACAUAAUAUUGAAAUUUGAAAGUUAGAAGCUAUUUUACAUAGAAAUCAAAUUCUUUUACAGUUUUACAUAUAUUUUAUUUUUUCAAUUUAAUACAUAUACGUAUCCAGCAUGCAUGUGAACAAAAUAAUGAACUAUUUCCUGCAUGGGGGUAGAGGAGAUCCACAUAGAUGAUCAUUCCCUACAAAUGACUCAGGUGAGAACUUUGUUGUCGGAAUUUGACCACUCAGUCGAUUGUAUGACAAGUCAAGUUUUUCGAGUUUAUUGAAAUUCUUGAGGUAUUUCGGGAUUUUUCCUGUCAAAGUGUUGUGGCUAGCAUUGAAUAUUUCAAGUUGAGGUGCCAAGAAUGAAAAUGAAGGUGGAAUCUCACCAAAAAACUUGUUGUGAGAUAGAUGCAACUCUUUAAAUGCUAAUGACUUGAAAAUAUUUGGAAUUCCACCGGAAAAUCGAUUAUUCCGGAGACUCAAAGUAGUCAAAUUCCUCAAACAUUGGAUUCCAUGAGGAAUCCCACCAGAAAAUUUGUUAUCAUCAAGCACAAGCAACUCUAAUCUAUUAGAUUUUGGGCUUUUGCUCAAAGAUAGUGGGCCUGAAAGUUUGUUAUCUUCAAUGUAAACUUGUUUUAACAUUGGAAGAUCGAAAAGGCCUUUUGGUAAUGGGCCAGUAAGAUUUCGAAGAUUUCUCAGGUAUAACUGGGUUAAUUGUCCAACUUUAAGUAAUGAAGGGGAGAUUGUACCUGUUAAAUAACUGUUUGGGAAAAAAACUGGAUUACUUCCAUAUAGCACUAGUUGGGUGACCCGUUUGUUAUUGGCAUUGAAACAGUUUACAUUGGACCAUUUGCAGCAAUCUGUACCAGGUAUCCAUGAGCUAAGCAUGCCCUCUGGAUCUUCAGUAAUACCCGAUUUGAAACCCAGUAGUCCAGCUUCAUCAUCCUUGUGGCAUUUUCCAAAGCAAAUUGGAGAGAAAAUUGAGAGUAAAAGAACAACUACUACUAGAGGUAGAUGACGAGGAGUAGGAGUAGAAGUAGAAGUGAAAGCUAAUGCCAUUUGAAGAAUGAUAUGUUUUAUAUGUUAAGAGAUGAGAGAAGAAUUUGUUUAUAUAUAGGUUUCUUUAGACAUGAACUUGGGCAACUACUGUAGAUUGAGAUUGGAAACACGUUUAAUCUUCUUGUUCAAUGGUACAACUUUUUAUAAGUCAAGGUUGACAGCUUUCUGUAGGUUUAUUGGUGGAUAAAUGUCUUGGCCAUGUGGGUAUUCAUAUUUUGUCGAAAGAAUUGUCGUCAUCACCACCAUUUUCAAAAGUUGGGGCAAUUGGAUAAGGAUAUAAACUUAUAGACAAUCUAUCAAUCAUGCGUCACUACUGUUACUUACAACUAGCCUUAAGGUGUCACAUGUCACAACAGUAUUUUUUUUUUUUUCGGUAAAGUCACAGCAGUAAUUAUGUAUGAUGUAUGUACCCAUCUACCUAUAAUGGUACAGUGUGAUUGGCUCAUAAGUCAAAUCCUAGGAAAAAAAAAUGUUUUAAAUUAUGAAUUGCAAGUUCGUUACUUUUGAAAAAUAAUAAUCUUAAUCAACUACGUAGACUAUACUAUAAACACUCACACCACAUCUGGAUUCAUAGCAGAUCUUAUUGGGCCUUUUUUUCAUUUUUGAACGGGGCUCUUUCCUUUCUUGAAGUUUGUUUAUUAUUGGGCCUGUUAAGACAAUUCAACUAAUAAAAAAAAAUUAUACUUGUUUUUGAUAAAUAUAAAUUCUACCGACAUUAGGAGGUCCGUUUAGAGUCAGGUGGAACUCAAACUCGUGUUUGUCCCCUUUUCUCUUUUUAAUUUCUGUUUUUUUUGUUUUUUGAAAUCUCUCUUCUUCUCUCUUGCUCUCUCCCCCGUAACAUUGGUCUCGACAAUAUCACGAUUCUAUAUUAUUAGAUUAGAUUUUAACUGAUUAAAUCUAGAAGACAAAUCUAACAAAAAAAAAUACACCUUAACAAUCUAUAUAUCUAUAUAAUAGCUAGACCCAUACGGUCCCACUUUCUCUCUCCUACGUGGGUGUCUAUCUGAAGAGAAAGCUCUCUCCAUUUUUGUAGCAUGUUAAUUCUGCUUAAAAAAAUUCUACGUGGUUUGAAUGUACGUGCCUAUCUGAACUCUUGCCACUAAUCCCAAACUCUUCCUCUUACAACUGAACGUGGAGUCAUGAACUCUUGCAACUUAUUACAAACUCUUCCACGUACUUUUUUUCAAUUUCAAACUGAAAUCAAAAUCUAAUUAAUUAUCGUCUCUCCUCUUUUCGAAUCCUCCAAUCUCUCAAAGAUCCUCUAUCAUCUGUUAAUCUCUUUAUUCUAAUUCUGAAUCACUCUUGCACAAAUCAAAUAUAAUUCACUACGGUAUCUAUUAAUUGAGGUAAUCUUCUUUUCUAUAUUUUUUGUUGAAUGUAAUUUGUGGAUUUGUUGUUCAGUUAUACUGAUUAUAGGGAUCCCCUGAUUAUAUUCAUUUUUGUGCAUCUUCAUAUUACUAUAUUAGUUGUUAAUAAAUUUAUCAUAAUUUUGAAUAAAACCUAAUUUAGCCUAUAUUAGUUGUUCAAUUACUGAUUAUAUUCAUUGUUUUGUACAUCUUUUUAUUAGUUGCUAAUUUAACCUAAUUGUGAAUCAAAAUUCCAAAGUAUUGAGAAACAAUUAUCAUUGUAGUUGUAUUAUCACUCAAAAUUUGAGACUACUGUAUUCUGUAAGGUAACUCUUCCUGAAACCACCAUAGUUUUUUUUUUUUUUUUUUUUAAUGUAUCAUAGUUGUUUAUUAGAACUUUAGUAGGACUAUCAGCCACUAUAUGCUUAAAUUCCAACCUCUCAAUUCUUUUGAAAUUUUGUAGUUCUUCAAUCAUAAAGAGUCACAUGGAACGCUUCACUAGCUGCUGCUUAUAUGGGACGAUCCUACUUCAACAAGCAUCCCAGGUUAUGAAACGGUAAUUUACCAGCUCUUUCUGUAUCAAUGAUUCGGCUUUAUUCUAUUCUCGGAAGCAAAUGGAUGAAAGGUGUAUAAUUUUUUUACAUAGAACUCCUGAACAUCUUUAGGUUCAAUAUCUACAAUGAUAAUUAUUGACUAGAUUGCUUGCUACAUCAUUAAAGUGUUCUUUGAGUGUAAGUUUGUGAAUAAAGAUUCUGAUAUUCAUACUCAAAGUAGGUUUAUUGCCUCCAAGAAGCACUCUUCGGUGCAGGUGAUACUUACUCCCCUAUCUGCUGGAAAACAAAUUCCACUUAUUAGAUUGUGUACUUGAAAAGGUUAGAUUGGUAAUUUACAUGAGGCUUUCCUUUCAAAUUGGUCGACAAAAUGGACCCCCACUCACUACAAAUUGCUCUAUAUUUUUCUCGCUUUCUUCCAACUCUUGCUUUUCAGACAAGUAAUGAAUCUUACCGGAAAAAAAUGUUUGGAUCUUGAUCCAUUAUAAAUCUUAUUCAAAAGUCAGUCUAUAUAAUUCUAUAAUUCAAAUGGUAACACCAUUCAGUGUUAUGUUGUGACUGUUCUAUGCUUCCUCAAGCCUGAUAGAUGUAUGCUCUUGACUUAUUAACAUUGUAGGGUGCAUCAUUGAAUCCAUAUACGUAUACCUGAUAUAUGCACCUAGGCCAACCAAGGUUUGUUUUAAUCUCACUCUCUAGCUUUUGUCUUUGUUGGAUGUUUCUUGGCUCAUAAUUACUGUAGGUAUAAGUGUAUUUGUUGCUCCUCUUAUUAUUAUGUCUUUUAUUGCUCAAUGCACUUUUGACCCUAUCUUUUUUUUUUUUUUUUGGUCAAUAAAAGAAUUUUAUUAAUUGUGAGAGUAAUUUUCAUCUUCUUUUUUUCUUAAAUUAUUUUUUCGUUUAUACAAGUAGUAUAGGAUUGGACUACGGUCAGCAAAAAACUUCUUAUGUGACAUAUGUGUUGGCAUUUGUUUUGCAGAGGCAUGUAAUAACAACUAAGAGUGUGCAGGCAGUUCAAACCACUAUCUCUGUUCUUUUUCCUUACUCUUUGUUUAAUUCUGUGUUUCUAACAUGAUGUCUAAUAUCUCAUAAUCCCCUUAUUAGCUAUAUACUGGGUUGACCGGUUAAGAAUUGUAGAUCUUGCUUUCAUGGUGAUUUUUGCUCCCAAGUAUUAUGGCAUUUAAUGUUCGCAACUAUUGUUGUUAUACAUGAGACUUGAAGCGAUAUAUGUGAAUAAGACCAAAUAGUUUGUUGUUGUCUUUGAGGUGGCCUCUAUACCUAAUACAUCGGUUUACUUCUUUUUAUUUGCUUCAUGAGAAGAUUAUUCAUACUUGCGUCUUUUUUAACAUAAAUAUAGUUUCUCAUUGUUAAGUUCUUGAUGUUUGCACCAUCUCUUCACGUUGAAUAGUUCAUUCGAGGGGAACGCUCGAAUAUUUCAAAGUUGGCUUCAAAGUGUUGCAUUUUUUGGCUCUUGAUAAUUGAACUUGAAUCACGAUUCACUACUCAUCAAUGUGGUCAAUUUGCAAACUGUGUGAAAUAAUUGACCAUUGACCAUUCUACCAUUCUAUUGUCCACAUAUCACUAUAUCAGUCAGUGAUCUGAUGUGCACGAUUACAUGGUCACAUGGACUUUGUCAUCAUCUCAUACUAAAAUUUAUGAAGUCAUACGGUAUACUAUUGUUUAAUUCUGAAGCAUGGUUUGUUCUGUUUUACACAAGAACUAAUGCACCAAGCUUCGCAUUCCUAUAUGACACCAGAAUAACUCUCUCUCUCUCCCAACUUACCUUCUUUACGAACUUGACCAAUAAUUUUUAUGUUAAUCUCUCUCUUCCUAAACUUUCUUUAGGCACUGGACUUAUAAUUUUUAUACACGAAUGCAUCACAUAUCUUCCUAAGUUCCAUUAGGCAUUUGGAAAAAAACAUUUGGUGUAUGGAAUAUGGUUCUAACAUUAGAUAAUGUUUAGAGCUCUCUCUCUUGAGUUCAAUCUGAAAACUAAUGAUUUUCUACUAAAAAUAUAAUGGUUAAAUUCAAUUAAAUAGUUGUAUUAUUUAAUAUCAUCCAUAUAUUGUUUUCGCAUUCUACAUUACAAAAGCAAUGUAAAUAGAUUGUUGAUAAAUGAAUUAUAAAAACAAGAAAAUUUCAUUUUACACCAAAAAUCACACCAAUCCAAUCCGUACAAGUACCCUAAAUAGGAUUGAGUCAAACAUUUCCUAAGUUGGGUCCACAACUAGUAGUAACAAAUAUUAGGUUGAGAAUGGCCGGCUCCUAAAUCAUUUGUUUCCUCACAAAUCAUUAGGCAUCAAAUUAAUUCUAGAUUUUUUUUAAAUUCUUCUAUAAAAAAAACUAGUACUUAGGCCCGUGCAAUGCACGGGCAUAUCUGAUUGUUUUAAAGUUUUUUUUUGGGGGGGUUUUAUAUUGCUUUUAGUUUGUAACUUGUAAUAUUUUGUUUAGCCCGUUUCAAAAGUCUAUGAUCUGGUAUGAUUUCAUUUAGAAUUAUUAUAAAUCUUUGAGUAAUGAAAUUAAAUGAUUAUUAUAUAUACAUGAAAAUUAAACCAAAAACAUUUGAAGAUAUCCAGGAGAAUGGGAUUUUGCAAUACUCUCAAUUCUCAAAUUCUCAAUUAGAAUUUAGUCUAGCUCGGUUGUUGAGGCUUCAUCACUUUGGGAAACAAUCUUUUCACAGUAGUCCAUUAGCAGUCGAGCGUCUCUUAAUUGGCUUGUAACGUUAACAUUAUGAAAAUUCGAAAUCUUUAACAAACUAUUAUGAUGAUAAAGAUGACUUACUUGUAAUGUGACGGAGAGAUCCCGUUAGGCCUGUAGUUAAGCAUUUCCAGAAGGCAACCAUACAAUCUAUGUCUGUGUGAAUAAUCUUGCGACAUUUUUUGAUAUAGUCCCAUCUGCAACACAUUUACGUACAUUAGAUCAUAAAUUAAGGGAAACUCAAAUUUCAUGAAAUUGCAGUAAAUAAGUCUUACUGCUACUUGGGUCCCUUUUCGUAUCCCCACCAUUGAAAUGUAUUGAAGAUUAUAUCAUCAUAUUUAUUGGAGUUUAUUUUCUAUUUUCAUUUACUUUUUGUCAAUGCCUAAUAAGUGCAAGGAAAAGAAAUAGAUUACUGGUUCUCCAUAUUCCUGCAAAAUAUACUUUUUGUCAAAUCUAGAAUGUAAUUGAAAAUGACCAUCACAAACAUGUUUGACGUGUGUCCACAAUAAUAUCAUAUUAAUAUUAUUAAUGAUCUUAUUAAUAAAUUUGCAUAGCUGCCCAUUUGACUUAGAAUACUGGUGAGUUUUGAUUUCUGUGUCGUCGAGAGAUCUUCAGCAAACAUCAUAUAUACAUGGAUCAAAUAUAAGCAUAUAUGUAGACAUAGACUUUGAGUGAAGAGGAAGAUGGAGAAGUUGUAUAAACGUAAUAAAUCAUCUGGUGAUUUCAAUGUAAAUCUUGGUGAGUUUUGAAUUUCUCUUCGAUUAAGUUAUCAAUUUCAGCUUAAUUGAAGAGAUACAGUAAAACCUCGAUAAGAUAAUACCCGAUAAAUUAAUUAUCUCAUUUAAAUAAUAUUUUUAGCUGGUCCCAACUUGAGCAUAUGUUAAUAAAUUAAUAUUUCGCUAAAUUUAUUAGAUAAUACAUUUUAGAAAAAUCCUUGAAUGCCCAACUAAUAUAUAAAUUAAUAUUUUUUCGAUAUCAAAUAUAUUUUAUAUUUUUUUUUAUAAUAAAAGUCAAUUUUUGCUUGUUUUUUCUCAAGAUUGAUUUUGGUUUGAACCUCGUCUCUGAAUUUUUGUAGUGUGAUAAGUUGAUCUGGUGUUGUAGUUUGUAUUGCAAGAAGAAAUUAUUCCAAUAUCAUUAUCGAUUUUAGUGUUUUUUUUUGUGGAACGGGUUUUAGAAUAAAACGAUUGUCCAGUUUCAUCAUGUUAGCCCCCCCCCUUAAAAAAAAGAAAGAUAUACAUAAAAAUAUACUGUUAAUUAUGUAAAUUAACAAUUUAUUAAUUAAUAGAUGAAUUGAUAUCUCAUUUAAUUAAUAAUUUUCUCUACUUCCAAGGCUAUUAAUUUAUCGAGGUUUUACUGUAUUUUUUGUACGGGCUGGACUUGAUUCCCAAACUCAAUCAAAAUUCUUUUCAAUUAAGCUAUUAAUUUUAAUCUAAUUGAAGAGAUGUUUUUUUAAGGGUAUUUUCAGCUUUAAUAGAGUAUAAUAGAUGGAAAAGUUGUACAAAUGUAGUAAAUCAUCUGGUGAUUUCAAUGUAAAUCACUAUUUCCACCAGAUAAUUAUUUAGCUACUUAUUCAAAAAAGAUUACUGGUAAACUUAUUGAAGUUAAAAUUGUUGAAUUGAAAGAAAUUCGAGUUAGAGCAUUUUAUCAAUGGUAGUCAAUUACUGGUAUUAGAUUUAGUGGUGAUAAUGUGGUUUACUGCUUAUAAAGAAUUCGAGUUAGGGUUACUUAUGAAGGUUGUUGUAUUUAAUAUGUGAAAUUAUAUAUUGACCCAUUUUUAUUUAUUUUGUGUAUUUACAAAAAUACCCAAAAUUGAAUGAAUUUCUCUUCAAUUAAUUUAUCAAUUUCAGCAUAAUUGAAAAGAUAUAGUAAAACCUCGAUAAGAUAAUACCCGAUAAAUUAAUUAUCUCCUUUAAAUAAUAUUUUUGGCUGGUCCCAACUUGGGCAUAUGUUGAUAAAUUAAUAUUUCGGUAAAUUUAUUAGAUAAUUAAUACAUUUUAGAAAAAUCCUUGAAGGCCCAACGAAUAUAUAAAUUAAUAUUUUUUUGAUAUACAAAUAUAUUUUAUAUUUUCUUAUAAUAAAAGUCAAUUAUUGUUUUUUUUUUCUCAAAAUUGAUUUUGGUUUGAACCUCGUCUCUAAAUUUUUGUAGUGUGAUGAGUUGAUCUGGUGUUGUAUUAUGUAUUGCAAGAUGAAAUUAUUCCAAUAUCAUUAUCGAUUUUAGUGUUUCUUUUCGUGGAACCGGUUCUAGAAUAAAAUGAUUAUCCAGCUUCAUCAUGUUAGCCCCCUAAAAAGAAAGACAUACAUGAAAAUAUAUUGUUUAUGUAAAUUAAUAGUUUAUUAAUUAAUCGAUGAAUUAAUAUCUCGUUUAAUUAAUAAUUUUCUCUAGUCUCAAGGCUAUUAAUUUAUCGAAGUUUUACUGUAUUUUAAUUAUGCUUGUGAUUUGGUCCAACUGGGUACGGGCUGGACUUGAUUAUACUUGGGAUUGGGUAUUCUUUUAAUUUUUUAUUGGGCUUAAUUAUUCCCAUGGUCUAAUUGGGCUUAAUUAUAUCUGUGAUGGUGGUCCACUUUUGCCUAAUUACAAAUAUACCCAAACUUAAUCAAAAUUCUCUUCAAUUAGGCUAUCAAUUUCAGUCUUAUUGAUAGCCUAAUUGAAGAGAUAUUUUCUUAGGGGUAUUUUCUGCUUUAAUAUAGUAUAAUAGAUUUCACAUGGAUUUUACACACCCUAUAUGUCUAAAUACACAACCGACAUAAAUGCAUAAGAAAAUAUUAUAUAUCCCAUAUAAUAAUGUUUAUUUUUACUUUAUAAACCACACCCUCUGCAAAUGCACAUUCACUUGCCCUUUUACACAACAUGUCUGGUACUCCGUUAGUUUGAUCUUCGGACUAAUUCAUUUACAAAACGUGACUGUUGAGCAAUGGAUUAACACAUGGUUCUCACCCCCAUCCCAUUGGCUUAUUGAGACGGAAACAUGGUUAUCUUACUGGCAGUCUAUCACAUGGUCUAUUCGGAAAACAAGAUGCAAUAAGAUCUUCACAAACACUAUUGCAGACAUGAGAAUUCUUGCAUGUGACAUUGACAAGGCAGUGUUAAGGAAUGUUGCAGGAAAAAGAACUAAGAUUCCAUUGAAUAGCCACACUUCAGAGUUCAGACAACAAGUCGAUCUGGAUUCCACCAAAAACAGGAAACUUGAAAGUCAAUGUGGACAUCACUUUCAUCUCUGCAGAUAAGUACAAUGGAAUUGGGUACAUUAUGCACAACGACAUAGGGCUUCUCCAAAGUGCAGGAUCAGAAAGAGGAAAGCUGAAUGUAAAGGCUUGCUACUGGCAGUCCGAUGGUGCAUUAAGCUCAAAGUAAUAGUAAGAUUGGAGCUGGAAACUGAUUGCAAGGGAGCAGCAGACUUCUUAACAGGAAUGCAAUCUAAUCUAUCAUGGUAAUCUAUAUGUGUUCUGCAAGAAAUUCAGAAUCUUAGUUUGUAUUUUGAUUAUUUCUUUAUUUCGUUUUGUAAUAGAACAGGGAACAAGCAGCUCAUCUUAUAGCACACCAUGCUAACUUAAGUUGUUUGGAUGCCAGUUCUCUUGUUGUAAUUCCAGAUUGGCUUAAACCAACUGAAGCUGGAUUUGAUCUUUUGCUCUGUAAUUUAAUCACCUAAAAAUAAAGUUUGAUCAUUAAAAAAAAAAAUGUGUUUAAGAUUUAGGCAUCAAAAUCCCUCCACAUAAAGAGUACAAAAGACCAAUUAACUAACUCCAGUUGCUAUCAUGAGGUUGCAUACAAUACUGCAUUUAGUUAAAGAAUGGUGUACAAGUGUUCCUCCUCAUAAUGUAUCUUUGUGGGCAUCACUAUCGACCAUCUCUUUGCAAUUUUCAAUUGGUGGUGAAGUCUUACGCCCCUCAAGCUGCGAAAGAUGAGCCUACGAAGUUUCAGGGGUCAAGUAGGACUGUGAAAUCGCGAGUCAGUGAUCAUACUAUAACUUAGUGUCAAAUAAAUCCAUAUCACAUCACACAAUCAUCAAGCUCAGUUAUGACCACACAAACAAAAUUUAAGCUUAAAAUGUUGUUCCAGUAUAGUAAGAAUACACCGCCUUGCAGAUUUCAGCGUGAGAAAAUUCACUAUGCUUUAUGUUAAGAACUGACAUUUCUGCUUUCAGCUUCUCAUACUCAGAAAUUGUUGGACCACCAAACUAUUGUUGAACAAACCUGCCAAUGAGAAGAAAAGUUUUGAUCAGAAUGAGAAGAAAAGUUACUCAAACCAAGUCCACUUUUUGAAGAUUAGAGCCACAUUGAUAGAACUGCAAAAGAGAACAAAAAGGAUAAUGCUUGACAUGCUAAUGAGAAGUAUCGGGUAUUGUGCAAAAUGCUGAUACUUGUAAAAACACAGGUUAUAGAAAACAAGGAUAACUGCACGUCUCUUAACUACCAUGUAUAGAUUGCGAGGAUGCCUCACAUGCUAAUGGGACGUAUUAGAUAUGAUGCAAAAUGCUGAUUCUUAUAGAAAUACAAGUAUAGAAAACGAGGAUAACUCCAGCUCUUAAAUACCAUGUCUAUUUGAUAGAAUGCUGAUGGAACAAUAUUCAAAUGGGUAGAUAAAGCAAGUUAUGUAGUACAGAUAUGUACAUUGCGAUGUGAACAUUGAUUUAUAGGUAGGCCAAACGUAUAUCAUUCAUUGAGUGUUUAUUUACUCGUACUCAUGUAUUAGCAUGUAUCACUCCUAUGGUUUUUAAGUGUCAGUCUCAUGGAAUCAAAUUUGAAAAUGUUCGAAUACGAAAUCUCUAAAUAUCCAACAAAUCAAGCAUAAACAUCCGAAACCAUAAUCGGCAAGAACUGUUAAUCUACAUCAAGCAAGUAAAGGCAAUAUGUACAUUGGAGUCAUCAGAAUCUCUGCAACAUUAUACAUGGACGUUGUAUGUGACAAGUAACUGUAUUUUGAGUGUCUAAAAUCUUAGGGAAAUCACAGCACUACUUAAAAUGAUGAUAGACUACUUGGUGUUGUGCAACCCCAGGUUUCACAGCAAGGUACAUAACUAGAACGCAAAAUUAGCUAGAACUAAUUUAAAGAGUAUAAAAUAAUAAACCAUAAAGCAACUUACUGAAUCGCAGAGGAAGGUUUGUCGUUCUUUUUUUUUUUUUUGGUUGGCAAGCAGGGUUGAGGGGGCCUUACCCCUUUAAAUUACGUGUGGAAACUUAUAUCAACAAUCAGCUGUUGACGUGUUUCGAACCCACAACCUCUCCACUUUGUGAGAGGGGUGCUACCAUUGAGCCACAGGCUCAUUCGCAAGGUUUGUCGUUCUGCUCAUGUAAUGAAGCAAGAACUGCAAGAAAAUCACAUCGGCCACACUUGAACAAAAGUUACACCAAUAGUCUUAUAUCAUUAUACGGCAAAAAGGAGAAAAUGCAGAACCUUUGGUGAGGGCAUCUAGAACUCCUAAAAGCUUCUUUCUUUGCUUCCUUUUCCUGCACAAAAUAAGAUUUAGUGCAGGAAGGAAUGUAAGAUCUAGCACUAAGUAGAAAUCAUUACUGAAAAUAACUUGUAUGGAGAUCAAUAUGUUACCACAAACCCAUUGAAUAUCUUAACACAGACAAUAAGAUGAUAGAUCACAAGGAAAAAUAUUAGUCUGGAGUUAUCACACUAGUGUCAAGACAGCCAUGACAACAUCCAACUUCACGUGAAAUGAAAUGACAAAUGACAUCAAACGGUACUAGUUGUACCCAUAUAUAGUGGAAAUAGUAGCAAUAAGAGGGUUCUAUAAUCCAUUUAGCAUAUGAAAUCACUAAAAGAGAAGAUUUUAAAGGAGAAGAAGAUCCAGAUAUACUUACCAUGUUUAAAGCAUCAAUAAUGAGAUCAAAAUUCAGGAAAACAAGAAGGAAGAUUGAAGUUGGCAAAUUUUAGGGUUUUGAUUGGACGAAACGGGAGAGAGUGAAAGCAACCGCCAUGGGUACUUAAUUCCAAUCCUAGAUUCACAUUAACUGUUAUAAACGGAUCAACUACUCUCUUGCAUUUAAUGUUACUUGAGUGCCACAGUACACAGAUCAAGUAUCUCUUACGCAUCCUCUUGGGAAACUCAAUUUUUUAUUCUUUUUUCAUUUAUUUUAUUUAGCUGGAGGGAUUUCCAGUAUCUUAUUAAUCAGUCAUUUGUUCACUGCAAGAACAAAAGGGAAAUAUAGAAUAUACUGAAACAUAUACAAUGGACAACUUUGUAAAAGUAAACAUGCUUGAAACCUUUAGUUUUAUACUUGAGAAAACUUAACUUACGAGUACCUCUGUACUGUACAGCCAACUGGGUCCAAUAUGAAUAAAUAACAAAAAUAGUUCGUGCAACAAAAACAAAGGAGUGUAAAGAAAGGCACUGAAGAAAAUAGGCAGAGUCCAUCGACCAAGCUAGGAUGGCCUUAGGUCCUUGCAAGAAGCCUUAUAACAUUGUCCUUCACCCACAGGCCACGGGAGGGUAGUGUAACUUAAUCUAUCAAUCAACAAGCUAUAGUUAAUAAUCGAACACAAUUCAAGAUUGAAAAUACAAAUUCAACAAAAACGAAAAUAAUAAGUUGAAGGUGUACAAACUAGAGCUGUGCACUUACUUAAACAUAUUCUUAUUGGAGACUGAAUUUCCCAGUUACGAAAGAAACAAGGGCAAUUUAUGAGCAAUGUGUCCGAUCAAAAUUACAAUAAAAUUUUAUAAGGAGGUCUUGGAGCAUCUCCAAUAUAGUACCAUAAGUUUGAUGGUAACACAAAGGCACAAUUGAGCUUAAAUGCUAACAGACAUGAGACAACAUACGAAAAAAAUACUUAGCUUUAUUUGUUCUGCAUAUGGGGCAGCUAUUAAACAUCCCUUCAGCGCUGAAGGCGAGAAGUGAUCCCAAGAUUGAGGCUUUACUAGCUAGUUACUGGACACGUUCAAGAUUCAACUAUGAUAUAACUAUUAACUGGAUACUAGAAUGAGAAAGAUAAAUUAGCUACUUUGGUCCAUACUUUCACUAAAUUUUCACUUGAGUCCCAAAAGUUCUAUCUGCUCAAUUUGGUCUUAAAGCAAUAUGGUCCAUGUUAGAGCAUUCCCAAUGCAAGGUGGAUUUUGGGGGUGGGGUGGAUAAAUCCACCUUGAAACUCAAACUAAUGUCCAAGGGAAGGUGGAUUUUCAAAAGUGGGAUCCCACAGGUGGAUUUCAAGGUGGGAGAAUCCACCUGUGGGUGGUAGAACCGGACGACAUGUCACAUGCCGUCCUAAUUUAAAUUACAAUCGGACGGCAUGUCACAUGCCGUCCCAUUUUUUUUUUAAGUUUUACGAAGUGUUUUAAAACUUUUGGUCUCUCGGACGGCAUGUGACAUGCCGUCUCCCUAUUUUUUUAAAAAAAAAAUUGGACGCCGAAUUUUAAAAAAAAUCCACUUCCUAUUACAAAGAGUCCACCUUCCCUGGAUGUCAUUCAAUGCCUCGUAAACCUUGCGUUUGUACAUUUUGUCUUGGGUAAUUUCUCGAAUAAGCAUAGGUUUAUCAACUUUCUUCCCAAAAAAGCACAUUUGACUGCAAUCUUCCCCAACAAGCACAUUUUUAGCUUUGACUUAAUAAUUGGACAUUUCUACCCUUAGAGCAUUCCCAAUGCAAGGUGGAUUUUGGAGGUGGGGUGGAUAAAUCCACCUUGUAGCCUAAAAGAAUGUCUCAAGGGGAGGUGGAUUUUGGGGGUGGGCUGCCCACAGGUGGUAGAACCGGACGGCAUGUAACAUGCCGUCCUACUAAAAAUUACAAUCGGACGGCAUGUAACAUGCCGUCCGCAUAUUAAAACCAAACAGACGGCAUGUAACAUGCCGUCCAGAUUUUAAAAACCUAGAGACGGCAUGCAACAUGCCGUCCGAAAUCUAAAAACAAUCAGACGUCUGAAGUUAAAAAACAAAGGGACGGCAUGUAACAUGCCGUCCGGAUGUUUAAAUUUUUUUUUAAGUGCAGACGGCAUGUAACAUGCCGUCCGCCUUUUAAAUCCACUCCAACCCCCCACCCUGCGUUGGGAGACUACCACCCAGGUGCAAAUACACCUCUCUCUUUGAGGUGGAUUUUGCCUAGGUGGACCUACGUGGAGGUGGAUUUAUCCACCCUCCAUUGGGAAUGCUCUUAUGACAACUUUAAGCAGUCACAUCAUAUCUUUUGUUUGAUUGAUUUUUCUCUCUCAUCAUUCAAUUCAGCAAACUAAACUCUCGCCGUUAGAUGAAAAAACAUCUUUGAUUACCACCGUUGGAUGAAAUAACACAGAAACCAGCAUUCUCAAUCCUCCACAUCACACUACUCUAUCCUCCACCCAGAAAAGACAAAAACAACUGUCUUACCUUAAAAGAGAAGUAAACCAAACUUUUCUCUGUUCUUCUUUGUUCAUCACAGAGAAUGAACAAGAAGAUAACCUCUUUUCAUCAGAUCACAUUCUUUUUGUCGUAAAGCUUCAAUUUUUUUUUUUAUGUUGGGGUUUUCAUCGGUAAUAUUUUGGGUUCAUCAUGGAAAAAAAAUGAAGCAAUAAGGGCAAGCAAGUUAUGAACGUUUUUCAGAUUCCUGGUAAGUUUUAAGGUUUGAAGGUUGUAAUGUUCAUUUAUAAUGAUAAUGGGGGGUUUGAUUUCAGUGGCAUCAAUACCAAUCAUUGGUAUUAAAGUUGUCUGUUUUAGGUUUCAAUCUCAGUGGCCUUAAAGUAUUCACUCACACACACCCACCAGCUUAAAUGCAAGCAUUUAAUUGUGGGUGGGGUUUCAACUCUAGUUGAUUGUUGGGUUGGGGGUAUGAAAACCCCAGAAUUUGGUUUAUGGGUUUCUAGUAUGUUGUUUUCAAGCUUUAAAUCACUAGUGUCUACCAUGUAUUGGUCUUUGUCUCUGUUUUUAUAGGGGGGUUUUGAAGUUUUUUAUCUAAUGAUUAGAAGAUCUAAAAGUGGGUUUAUCAUAUGGUACUGAUUAUCACUUUGACAUACAUUCUUAAAUUUUUAGACGAUAAACUGUCAACUGUAACCGUUAAUACUGAUAUUGUAGCCGAUAACGUCAGUACACUCGUUUAUAGAGAUGUGAUAUUAAACUCAUUUUAAUUGAUGUUAUGCAUAGAACACAUUUAAUAUCAUAUUCCAAUAUGGUGGGCAAUUGGUUGUUACAGUUGAAGAAGUUGAGAUUGCAUAUGUACAUGGUGAGUCAAAAAUAAGGAUCGCUAAUAACAAGACAUCCUACGGAGACUUCUUGGAAUUGGUUGAAUCCUUAUGUAAGGCACCAAGAACAACUUGGUCAAUGCGAGCUGUAAUCAACAAUAAUCCAACUAAGGUUGAAUGCGAAGAUCAUUACAUGGCAAUGAUUGCAUACAUUACAAAUUCAGCUGCAAUGGUGAUUUCUAUUUGGGUGGUUGAUCAUUUAACACCAGUUAUGAUACAGUCAGAGACUAAUGAAGCCUCAAGCCAAGUGAGUGAGAUACCAAGAGAGCUGCCCAAGGGGGAUCCCAAAACUAAUCAAUCUUUGAAGAGAAUACUUUUUCCUGAACCUGUUGUCAAUAAUCUAGGCUUGGGUAGGAAACCAGACUACCUUUCUUUUUGUACACCAACAAAACCUUUCCAUGUUCCUGAUGAAUAUAGGUUGGAAACUCCUUCUCAAGACCCAGAAGUGAUUGUAAAGGGAAAGGGGCACUCAAAUGACCCUUUAGUCUUGGAAACCCCUCCCCCUAAUGUUCAAGUGAGAACUGAUGUUUACAUUCCUCAACAUCCAGUUAACUUGACUCCCUUAUCGGCUAGAACAGCAUCUGGAUCGCCUAUAUGUGUACAGACGUCGGCUAGAAGUGGUAAUCUUGAAGACAUAGCAGGAUUCUAUCUGAUAUGCGUAGGGAUAAUGGUUUUGGGGAUUCAGAUGAAUUGUAAAGUGUAGAAGAAAGAUUAGAUCCAGAGAUAGAGAGAAGCCAAGAAGAAGUAUUGGAUGAUGACAAUGAGGGUGAAUGUGAGGAAGGCCAAUGGGAUUCAGAAGAGGAUGUGUUCGACUCAAGUAUUGAUUACUCUUAUAAUUCAUUCGAUAGACUUGAAGAUGAGUUUGAAUCUGAGAUGUAUACUGCCAACCAGCCAAUGUUUGGUCCUACACCACCUCCUCCAUCUCAUAAUGAAGAUGAUGGUGUCAUCCAAUCUUCAUCUGAAGGCAUUGGUGAGAUGAAAACACCAAUUCUUGACACCCAAGAUCAAGAAUUUGAGAAUGAAAUGUACAAUGACAGCUACCCAAUAUUUGGUGAUCUAUCGACACAAGAAACCGUGCAUAGCGAAGAUGUGGUAACGGAUAGAAAUGCUACUGCAGCGGAUACACGGUGCAAUCUAGAGGAUCGUUUCGCUCGAGUAGGGGAUUACGUCAACAAUCAACCACAACAUAACACUGUGCCGCUACAAGACAACCCUCCAACUCCUACCACUGUGCCACUUCAAGACAACCCUCCAGCUCCGACCACUGUACCUCCUAAUACAGAUGUACCAUUUCCCAACAAUGUGCCACUCCAGAAGAAUGUAAGAGUUACGGAAAACCGUGAUAACGAUGAAGUGAAGCGUGAAAUGGAAGAGUAGAAAUUAGAAUGGAAGAUGGGAAAUUAGAAGAUGAUUGUGUAGAAAUUAGAAGAUGAUUGUGCAGAAAUGGAAGAUGGGAAAGAAAUUAGAAGAGUUAUGAGCAGUUUAAUGGAAGAAGAAUCGGUUUAAGAAGAAAAGAAAGUGGGUGGUUAUGGAUUCUGAAACGGUGUGAAAACCCUAGGUUAGCAAACCUUUACCUGUUCCCGUUCAAUUAUCCCGCCCAAUUAAAACCCAACGGUUAAUGAUACGUGGCGCUGAUGUGGCUGUUGUUUAGUGUAGCAGAUGCUUGUUUAAAAUUUCAAAUUGUAGAGGAAAUAACAUCUACUUGUGGAGGAUAGGAACUAGCAAAUUAUAUCCAACGGUUGUAACUUAUUAUCAUGAUCCAAUGGUUGUAAUCUAUUGUCAUGUCAUUAUCUAAGAUGUCACAUCUACUGAAAACCUAUUGAAAACCUAUUAAAAGUAAUGAUUAUAGGCUAAAGGGUAUAAUAGGGAAAAAAAUAUGCUAAAAGACAAAAAAUCAUAAGUCAAAGCUAAAAAUGUGCUUGUUGGGGAAGAUUGCAGUCAAAUGUGCUUCUUUGGGAAGAAAGUUGAUAAACCUAUGCUUAUUCGAGAAAUUACCCUUUUGUCUUCAAAAGUUCAAAUAUAUAUAUUUUUUUUAUUUAAAUUAAAUAUCUUUUAAUAACUCAGGAGGAGAGUUUUUUUUUCGAUGCGAAACUUUUACCAAAAAAGCCCAUUUCUCUUUUACUAAAAUCAAAUAUAUCUUUUCCAAUACAAAGGGUUAUUAAGUAAUUUUAAUAUAAAUAAUUAAACUUUAUCAAGUAGUUACCUACAAACUAGGAAACUAAUAUUGUUUUUACCAAACAAGAAAACUAAAUAUGAUAUACGUCUAACAGACGUGCAUUCACUUAGUUUUAUUAAUAAACUCAAAUACUCGGUUAUUUUAAACAAAAUCAUAGAAUCUUUAUUUGAAUUUGCAUAAAUCACAUGAAAAAGUUUUUAUUUGAGUUUACACUGCUUUUUAACAAGACUUUAAAAAGGAUAAUUCUACAGUUGAACAAAGUUUAGACACAAUUUACACAUGAAUUAUAGAGCUGCAAAAUUUCAGGUUCACAGUCUAGGUCUUACUACUACUAGUAAAUCAUCUUUUUCCACACAUAGCAGAUCCUACAUGUGGUUAUUCCCUUCAUUCUAAUAAUUGUUAUAAUUAUGGGUCUUAAAAUAAAAGUUCUAAAUUUAGAAGGUUGCAAAAUCCUAGAAAAUGCUAUAAAUGCUGAUGUGUCACCUAUGUGGUAUGCUAAAUUUAGACAGUGUAUUAGAGACUAGGAAAUAGAGAUAGAACAGAAAGUAGUAUAAAUGUAUAAUGUAAAUAAAAAGUGAUCAAAACUCUAAAUUUACCGAUUGGUCAAAUUGAAGUUAAAUACAAAGCCAAAUCAAUGAUACAAAAAAAUGGCAUUAUUCAUAAAAAAGAACAGGACAACAAGUACAUCCCCCAGAAAAUAAUAUUCAACCUCGCUAAGAAAAAAAAAAAAAAGUGCAUCCAAAAUAAAAUAAUCAAGAUCAAAUUAAAACAAAGUAAGAGUGACAUACAUCUUCAAGAAAUUGGGCAGGGACUGAGGCUCUCAACAUGAGGUAGGAAAGCAUAUUUAAAUUUCAACCGCUUGAGCUUCAAAGACGUCAACUGCUGAAACUGAACAUCAUAAACAAAGUAUACAUGUUCAUUUCCUUCCAUACCUCGUAAGAUAAAGAAUCUACCAUUUCCGUAAGUAGCAAGAACUUCUGAAAAUUGCCAAUUCUCCGGAAAUUUAGAACCAUAUGCUACGAGGUUCACACUGUAUAGUUUGUGCCAUUCUCCCCUUUUUAGGUCCUUCAGAACCCAAAUAUCCCAUUGACAUAGCUGACGACUCUGUACCUCUUUAUUUGGCACCACAUGAGAGGGACAACCUUCUAUUUCGUGUAACACUUCUACUCUAGACCUACAACAUACAGGGUCUUCUGACUUGUAAAACUUUUCCCUAGCAGUGUCAAAAGAAACUACGACCUGAGACCCUACCCUAUCAUUUUCAUAGGUCCCA